rnacentral:rRNA from 1 species
UGGGGAAUAUUGGGCAAUGGGCGAAAGCCUGACCCAGCAACGCCGCGUGAAGGAAGAAGGUUUUCGGAUUGUAAACUUCUGUCCUCAGGGAAGAAGGACGUGACGGUACCUGAGGAGGAAGCCCCGGCUAACUACGUGCCAGCAGCCGCGGUAAUACGUAGGGGGCGAGCGUUGUCCGGAAUGACUGGGCGUAAAGGGCGCGUAGACGGCUGUCUAAGUCUGGAGUGAAAGUCCUGUUUUCAAGGUGGGAAUUGCUUUGGAGACUGGAUGGCUUGAGUGCUGGAGAGGAAAGCGGAAUUCCUAGUGUAGCGGUGAAAUGCGUAGAUAUUAGGAGGAACACCAGUGGCGAAGGCGGCUUUCUGGACAGUAACUGACGCUGAGGCGCGAAAGCGUGGGGAGCGAACAGG